rnacentral:rRNA from 1 species
AUUGAACGCUGGCGGCAGGCCUAACACAUGCAAGUCGAUCGAGCGGCGGACGGGUGAGUAAUGUAUGGGGAUCUGCCCGAUAGAGGGGGAUAACUACUGGAAACGGUGGCUAAUACCGCAUACUAUCGGAUGUACCCAUAUGGGAUUAGCUAGUAGGUGGGGUAAAGGCUCACCUAGGCUACGAUCUCUAGCUGGUCUGAGAGGAUGAUCAGCCACACUGGAACUGAGACACGGACCAGACUCCUACGGGAGGCAGCAGUGGGGAAUAUUGCACAAUGGGCGCAAGCCUGAUGCAGCCAUGCCGCGUGUAUGAAGAAGGCCUUAGGGUUGUAAAGUACUUUCAGCGGGGAGGCGUUACCCGCAGAAGAAGCACCGGCUAACUCCGUGCCAGUAGCCGCGGUAAUUC